AGAAUCAACGCUGGCGGCGUGCCUAACACAUGCAAGUCGAACGAGAAAGUGGAGCAAUCCAUGAGUAAAGUGGCGACCGGGUGAGUAACACGUGACUAACCUACCCUACAGUGGGGGAUAACUCCGGGAAACCGGGGCUAAUACCGCAUAACAUCGUAAGAUCAAAGGAGCAAUUCGCUGAAGGAGGGGGUCGCGGCUGAUUAGUUAGUUGGUGAGGUAACGGCUCACCAAGACGAAGAUCAGUAGCCGGCCUGAGAGGGCGCACGGCCACACUGGAACUGAAACACGGUCCAGACUCCUACGGGAGGCAGCAGUGGGAAUUUUGCGCAAUGGGGGAAACCCUGACGCAGCAACGCCGCGUGGAGGAUGAAGUCCCUUGGGAUGUAAACUCUUUCGAUCGGGACGAUUAUGACGGUACCGGAAGAAGAAGCACCGGCUAACUCUGCGCCAGCAGCCGC
rnacentral:rRNA from 1 species